AAUGGAAAAAUUGUGCCUUGUGCUGUUUUUUAUCCAACACACUCGUCAUGUGCUGGUUAGGUGCAAUACUGAACAUUCUUACACAAACAAAUAAUCUCUUGUGCCCUGACGUACAUCAAGUCUAAACAUCUGAUGCUCCAUUUGACUGACUAAUAAUUUCUGAUAUAUGUUUGUCUUUUACACCCGGACUCUGGCUCCAUCCUAUCUGACUCCCCACCAGACCCAAGGCUGUUAAAGCAAAUGCAUCUUGUCUUGGAAGCUCGGUGUUCCUUCCUUUGGAUAACAAGACAUGACGAUGCAGAAGUGAGAAAGCAAACAUUCUCACUCACAGCGAGAUAAGGUGGCGCAAACAAUUCCAUUGCUGCAGAGAGACAUUCCACCAGAGCCAGAGAAAGGGGUUAAAAGGCAGAAGCAACUUUAGGAUCGUGGGCUCUUUGCAUCACACCUUCGUGGUGUGUGCACUGAUCUCCCCAGCUGGUUUUUGGUUUGUUGAUGUGCACGAUCAACAUCCAUGCUUUUUAUUUGCUUUCCCCAUUAUUUUUAUUUUCUUUAUUAUUUCAAUAAAUCGCACAAAAGGACAACUCUCUCAUCUGCCUUUAUUGCAAAAUUUCCACCACAGAAAUUGGCGUCUACGAACAGGAUCCCGCAGCAGGUCGUCUGGACGGUGUGACCAGGGACGAUAGUCCUGAGGACUAGGGUCGCUCAGCCUCCGAACCUCUACAGACAUUCAGAGCUGGGAGGACUGCUCACCCGUCUGGAUCGCCUCUGACGAGAUCCACGAACUCAGAUUCAAACUCAAAUCCUAAUUUGACUCGGCCCGGUGAGAGAGAUUCCGUUUUGUUGCGACUUAUCGAAGAAAAAAAAAAAAGAAAACGGGUUUGAAAUUGGUUUCAGGUAUUCGGGAUUUACUUGGCUCUGAUCAUUUGGUUUAGGGAAAGUAAGGCAAAUAACAAUUAAUUCCAAAACAUCCCCAACUAGACUAAAACAACGACAAAAGAAAAUAUAACUAGGACUAGAGAUGAUAAUAUUUCUAAAACGACUAUGUGGCUGAAAACAUCUAAAAUAUAAUAAUUAGGACCAAACAAUUUUUUUAAUUAAAAAACUUAAUAUUCGGGUAAAAAAAAAAUUAAUUAGGUCAAAGUGUGCCCUGGUGGUCGAGACGGUGGUUGCUAAGGGUUGGCUCGUGGAACCGAGCUUCCGUCUGUACUGAGGAUACAGACAUGUUUUUCUGAUCUGUGCGUGGUCCACACGUGGGGGACUGAGUAUAAAAGACGGCUUCUGAAAGAGGGAGUGCGUUUGCAGAGUGAAGUAUUUUCAAGAGACGAGGGCCCCGGGCCUAGAGGGGCCUAACGUUGAGGAAGUACUUCGUGAAAGACUCUGUCGCCAGAUCGGGUUGGUUCCCUUUUUACGGAGACGUCCGAUAAAAAGGCAUUUUGGGAAGGUUCCGGCCGGAACACAUAAAAAUCUAAGGCAGAAAACCGCCGGGACUCUGAAAGAUGGGUUCGGGGCGAUCUAAGUCUCCACCACCAGACUGCAGCAUUACAAAAUUAAAGAACUGAGCGCGAUGAGGGUAAAUCCGGAUCUGGACUCCUUUCCCACCAUCAGCAGAAGAACCGAAGGAGAAGAAGCGCCGACCAACAACCAGAACAGGGUGGAAGCUCUGACACCACAGCAGCUGGAGGACACAGACCACAGCAUGGACGCCUCACCGACUCACACAACGUCUGCAGCCAUCACGUUCUGGGCUCAUCAGAUGAACCAGCUACUACAGACCCCGCACCAGCAUGAAAGGACUGUGUCUGAAGCUUCAGAGGAAACUGUCUUACAAGCGUGUGUGUCUGACAGACACCUGCUUAUGACAAUCAGCAAAGGAAAACAAGGACAGAGCAACAGCAGAAAAGACGUGCUCUGACACAGACACUGGUUGAAACAACAGGAGAGGCUUCAGACGUGAUCGGCCCAAUAGAGCUGCAUCUGAGGAUCCAGGAAAGGUCUGUCAUCGAGGAACAACUGUCCCAUUGAAAGGCUUCACCCGCUGGCGCUCACAUCAGACUGAUGGUUGGGGAAGGAGGAAGGUGACGGUUCCUUUUCACGUGACGUACAAGACGGUACCGCAAACAUACACACACACACAUUCAUACACGCAAUGAAGAAACACGCUUACAGCUGAUACACGCUCAAAUUCAUGUUCAUGCUUAUCUGCUUGCAAUGAAGAAUCGCUUUUUGCUCAAAAAAAAAUUCCCACAGAGUGAUUUUAAAAAUAUGACAAACAGCUAAAUGACAACUGCUGCAUGACUUUACAGUCUGAUGGGUUUAAACUAUUUUAACUUGCAACAAAUUCAGUAAUAAAAUCCUUCAUGUUUCUAAAAAUACUUGUGCACAAUAUAGGUUUGUCUGGCCAGACUAGAAGACUGUAGAAAACAAAACCAGACCAUAGGAAGACUCAAACUGACUGAAACAGACUAUCAAUGACUAUUAAAGGGAAGACGACUAUUAGAGAGAAGUAAUAAUAAUUACUGUACGUACCAGACUAUUAAAGAAAAACCUAUUCUUUCACUGUCUUGUGCAACAUCUGACAGCAAGACACCGUAACAUUCAUUUUUGCUUUCAAACUUAUGCCCAGUUUAAAUUUUUAGGAAGAGAUCUCAUGUGUAGUUUAGGUAUUUGAUUGAUUUCCACUCCAGACGAAGUGCAGGUUACAUCUACAGACAUUCUAAAUAAUCCCUCUUUUGUUGGUGUUAACUUCAGCUCAGCUGUGCUCCUAUCAUUGGCUGCUGAGGGGGGGCUGUAACUGAGGCCCUCACACAGGCUGCAUCACAGCUUGUUUAUGAUUUCACACACACACAAACUGGCCUCAACUUCCCUCUUUUGGGAUGAACACAGGUCUGCGCUUGCGAUUUCUUUUACUAACGAACAAAAAAGAUUUUUGAUGUUUAUUUUACAGUUCCACACGUCCCUCUGUGAAAACAUGAUGGAGACAGAUGCAGGACGUGGGUCCUUUCGUGAACAGAUGUCAACGGGGUAGAGACUGGUGAACGACUUCUGACCCCAUGUGACGUAUUCACCUACUUUGCAUACUUUUAGAAAACUUCUUUUAUUCUGCCGUCAUGUGCAGCAAACAGUAAACUGGGUACCUCCACAUUCUAAUGACACACAUUACACGCUUUUGUUUUUAUUUUCAUUUUUCAGAGGACGCUCUGACCCAACACUCAGCCUUACAGGAAGCCCUGCUUCCAUGUGGCUCACACACAGACAUGAUGUAGGUUCGAUCAGAGGAUGUGAACCAGUGGUCAUCGCACCUAAAUCUGACCACAGACCA